rnacentral:rRNA from 1 species
AUUGAACGCUGGCGGCAGGCCUAACACAUGCAAGUCGAACGAGUGGCGGACGGGUGAGUAAUGUCUGGGAAACUGCCUGAUGGAGGGGGAUAACUACUGGAAACGGUAGCUAAUACCGCAUACCAUCGGAUGUGCCCAGAUUGGAUUAGCUAGUAGGUGGGGUAAAGGCUCACCUAGGCGACGAUCCCUAGCUGGUCUGAGAGGAUGACCAGCCACACUGGAACUGAGACACGGGCCAGACUCCUACGGGAGGCAGCAGUGGGGAAUAUUGCACAAUGGGCGCAAGUCUGAUGCAGCCAUGCCGCGUGAAUGAAGAAGGCCUUCGGAUUGUAAAGUACUUUUAGCGGGGAGGCGUUACCCGCACAGAAAGCAACGGCUAACUCCGUGCCAGCAGCCGCGGUAAUAC